GCAGUGGUGGUUCAGUGGUAGAAUUCUCACCUUCCAUGCAGGAGACCCAGGUUUGAUUCCCAGCCAAUGCA
rnacentral:tRNA from 1 species